AGUGGGAUAGCUGGGUAAAAUGGUGGUUCCAUUCAGUUUUCCAAGGAAUCUUCAUACUGCUUUCCAGAUUGGUUGCACCAAUUUUCAGUCCCACUAGCAAU
rnacentral:pre_miRNA from 1 species